UACGUAGGGGGCAAGCGUUGUCCGGAAUCAUUGGGCGUAAAGAGCGUGUAGGCGGCCCGAUAAGUCCGCCGUGAAAGCCCAGGGCUCAACCCUGGGAUGCCGGUGGAUACUGUCGGGCUAGAGUUCGGAAGAGGCAAGUGGAAUUCCUGGUGUAGCGGUGAAAUGCGCAGAUAUCAGGAGGAACACCUAUGGCGAAGGCAGCUUGCUGGGACGACACUGACCGCUGAGACGCGAAAGCGUGGGGGAGCAAACAGG
rnacentral:rRNA from 1 species